GAUCCUGGCUCAGAUUGAACGCUGGCGGCAGGCUUAACACAUGCAAGUCGAGCGGGGAAAGGUAGCUUGCUACCUAACCUAGCGGCGGACGGGUGAGUAAUGCUUAGGAAUCUGCCUAUUAGUGGGGGACAACAUUCCGAAAGGAAUGCUAAUACCGCAUACGCCCUACGGGGGAAAGCAGGGGAUCUUCGGACCUUGCGCUAAUAGAUGAGCCUAAGUCAGAUUAGCUAGUUGGUGGGGUAAAGGCUCACCAAGGCAACGAUCAGUAGCUGGUCUGAGAGGACGAUCAGCCACACUGGGACUGAGACACGGUCCAGACUCCUACGGGAGGCAGCAGUGGGGAAUUUUGGACAAUGGACGCAAGUCUGAUCCAGCCAUUCCGCGUGCAGGAUGAAGGCCCUCGGGUUGUAAACUGCUUUUGUACGGAACGAAAAGGUUUCCAUUAAUACUGGGAGCUCAUGACGGUACCGUAAGAAUAAGCACCGGCUAACUACGUG
rnacentral:rRNA from 1 species